rnacentral:rRNA from 1 species
CCCUUAGAUGUUCUGGGCUGCACGCGUGCUGCAAUGGCGUUUCCAGCAAGUCUGCGAACCCGAGAGGGCCAGCGGAUCUUCGAAUUGGCGUCGUGAUCGGGACAGUCGAUUGCAAUUAUUUGACUCAAACGAGGAAUUCCUUGUAAUCGCGAUUCAUCAUAUCGCGCUGAAUACGUCCCUGCCCUUUGUACACACCGCCCGUCGCUCCUACCGAUUGAGCGAUCCGGUAAAUGUUUUGGAUUGGUGCCGGGGCGGCUAGCUGCCGGUCGCUACGAAAUUUUGUGAACCUUAUCGCUUAGAGGAAGGAAAAGUCGUAACA